GCAGCUUUAGCUCAGUUGGGAGAGCGUACGACUGAAGUCCGACUUCGGUCAUGUCAUCUAAAGGUCGCCCGUUCGAUCCGGGCAAGCUGCA